AUGUUAGCUUCAGCUCCACUGCUGCUGCUGGCUCUCGCCCCCUAUGUGUUCUGUGCUACUGAGCUCAUCCAGCCAGACUCACUGCUUAUAAAGCCAGGAGAGACUUUAACCAUCACCUGUAAAGUGUCUGGAGCUUCUAUCACUGAUAGCAGCAGCCAUUUUGGAACAGCUUGGAUUCGACAACCUGCAGGAAAAGCUUUAGAAUGGAUAAAUUUAAUUUAUUAUAAUGGGGUUAUUCAACAAAAAGAUUCGCUCAAAGACAAGUUUGUCAUCUCUCGAGACACUUCCAGUAACACUGUGACCUUAGGGGGACAGAACAUGCAGACUGAAGACACAGCUGUGUAUUACUGCGCUCGUGAUCCACACAAUUCCUGCAGUCAGACACUGAUCCAGUCUGAUCCUGUGACCAUCAAACCUGAUCCGUCUCAUAAACUGACCUGCACAGCCUCUGGGUUUGACUUUGGUAGCUAUGAAAUGGCUUGGAUCAGACAGGCGCCUGGAAAAGGACUGGAAUGGGUUGCAUAUAUCUCAAAUGAUCUGGAUCAUUUGGAAACAGGUCUUUUCUGCCUCUAG